rnacentral:rRNA from 1 species
UACAGAGGUCUCAAGCGUUGUUCGGAUUCAUUGGGCGUAAAGGGUGCGUAGGCGGCGCGGUAAGUCGGGUGUGAAAUCUCGGAGCUUAACUCCGAAACUGCAUUCGAUACUGCCGUGCUUGAGGACUGGAGAGGAGACUGGAAUUUACGGUGUAGCGGUGAAAUGCGUAGAUAUCGUAAGGAAGACCAGUGGCGAAGGCGGGGUCUCUGGACAGUUCCUGACGCUGAGGCACGAAGGUCAGGGGGAGCAAACGGGG